AUGAACGCUAGCGACAGGCUUAACACAUGCAAGUCGAGGGGUAACAGGGUAGCAAUACCGCUGACGACCGGCGCACGGGUGAGUAACGCGUAUGCAACCUGCCUAUAACUGGGGAAUAGCUCCCUGAAAGGGGAAUUAACACCGCAUAACACUAUUGAUUCGCAUGGAUUGGUAGUUAAAUGUAGCGAUACAGGUUAUAGAUGGGCAUGCGUGACAUUAGCUAGUUGGUGAGGUAACGGCUCACCAAGGCUACGAUGUCUAGGGGUUCUGAGAGGAAGGUCCCCCACACUGGUACUGAGACACGGACCAGACUCCUACGGGAGGCAGCAGUGAGGAAUCUUGGUCAAUGGACGGAAGUCUGAACCAGCCAUGUCGCGUGAAGGAGGACGGCCCUAAGGGUUGUAAACUUCUUUUGCAGCGGAAUAAAGUAUUCCACGAGAUGGGAUAUUGCAAGUACGCUGCGAAUAAGGAUCGGCUAACUCCGUG
rnacentral:rRNA from 1 species